rnacentral:rRNA from 1 species
GAUGAACGCUAGCUACAGGCUUAACACAUGCAAGUCGAGGGGUAACGAGAGGAAGGCUUGCUUUCCUUGUCGACGACCGGCGCACGGGUGAGUAACGCGUAUCCAACCGGCCCCCAACUAGGGAAUAACCUUGCGAAAGUAAGACUAAUACCCUAUAAUUUCCUCAGAUGUCAUCUGACGAGGAAUAAAGAUUUAUCGGUUGUGGAUGGGGAUGCGUCUGAUUAGUUUGUUGGCGGGGUAACGGCCCACCAAGGCAACGAUCAGUAGGGGUUCUGAGAGGAAGGUCCCCCACAUUGGAACUGAGACACGGUCCAAACUCCUACGGGAGGCAGCAGUGAGGAAUAUUGGUCAAUGGGCGGAAGCCUGAACCAGCCAAGUAGCGUGCAGGAUGACGGCCCUAUGGGUUGUAAACUGCUUUUAUACAGGAAUAAAGUUAGCCACGUGUGGUUAUUUGUAGGUACUGUAUGAAUAAGGACCGGCUAAUUCCGUGCCAGCCGCCGCAGUAA